rnacentral:rRNA from 1 species
CAGCACCUCAAGUGGUCAGGAUGAUUAUUAGGCCUAAAGCACCCGUAGCCGGCGCUGUAAGUUUUCGGUUAAAUCUGUACGCUCAACGUACAGGCUGCCGGGAAUACUGCAGCGCUAGGGAGUGGGAGAGGUAGACGGUACUCGGUAGGAAGGGGUAAAAUCCUUUGAUCUAUUGAUGACCACCUGUGGCGAAGGCGGUCUACCAGAACACGUCCGACGGUGAGGGAUGAAAGCUGGGGGAGCAAACCGGAUUAGAGACCCGCGUAGUCC